rnacentral:rRNA from 1 species
GAUGAACGCUAGCUACAGGCUUAACACAUGCAAGUCGAGGGGUAACGAGGGGAAAGCUUGCUUUCCUUGUCGACGACCGGCGCACGGGUGAGUAACGCGUAUCCAACCUGCCCCCAACUAGGGAAUAACCUUGCGAAAGUAAGACUAAUACCCUAUAAUUUCCUCAGAUGACAUCUGACGAGGAAUAAAGAUUUAUCGGUUGUGGAUGGGGAUGCGUCUGAUUAGCUUGUUGGCGGGGUAACGGCCCACCAAGGCAACGAUCAGUAGGGGUUCUGAGAGGAAGGUCCCCCACAUUGGAACUGAGACACGGUCCAAACUCCUACGGGAGGCAGCAGUGAGGAAUAUUGGUCAAUGGGCGGAAGCCUGAACCAGCCAAGUAGCGUGCAGGAUGACGGCCCUAUGGGUUGUAAACUGCUUUUAUACAGGAAUAAAGUUAGCCACGUGUGGUUAUUUGUAGGUACUGUAUGAAUAAGGACCGGCUAAUUCCGUGCCAGCCGCCGCGGUAA